rnacentral:lncRNA from 1 species
GGCGGGUGUAUUCAUUGCACCAAUGGCUGGCAGUUCUCUUGUGCCAUGGUGGCCCAAAUGUCAGUCAACCAGACAUGUCUUCUGAGAGGUGAAGAAGUCACAUGUGGUGAAUAUAUUAUCAUCAGAAUGCGGAGCAAUGAAAUGUAAACAGAUAGGAAUCAUCACUAAAGCUCCAACUGCAGCCUCUGGGUGCCAUAGCUUUUGCACCAUCCAUUUGCACCAUCUCUGCAGAUGUCUGCAUCAUCUGUAUUGACCCGCUCCCCAGAUUAAUACUGAAGCACUGCAAUUUCUUGAGGAUUAUCCACCUAGGAGGAAAUGAUACGCUGGCCCAUCCAUAGUAGUCAAGGUAUGUUCAACAUCAAGAGAAGGUUUGCUGUGUAACAGGUAAGAACAGGUUUAAAAGUGUGGCUUUAUAUGAUAGCAAAGCACAAAUAUUCAUAAGUUUUACUGUAGUGUUCACAGUAGUCAAAAUAAAGAAUUAGCCCAGAUGUCUGUCA